GAAACAGCAAAAAUUAAAUGGAGCAAGGACAUCAGCUGGAACAUUUAAGCCAAUUGCAUUGCUCUUCCUGAGGGAGUGAUGCCUCUAUUGAUAUAAAUCCACUGGUUUUUCUGAGAGAUGGGCUUUUAAGGGUUAUUUCCCCGAGUGACCAUCCAUUCUAGACUGUAAGCUCAUUUGAGCAGGGCCCUCAUCUACCUAUUGUUCCUGUGUAAUUGUGU